CCUACGGGGGGCUGCAAUUAGGAAUCUUGUGCAAUGGGCGAAAGCCUGACACAGCGACGCCGCGUGGAGGACGACGGCCUUCGGGUUGUAAACUCCUUUUGAUGAGGAAGAAGCAAGUGACGGUACUCGUCGAAUAAGCCCCGGCUAACUCCGUGCCAGCAGCCGCGGUAAUACGGGGGGGGCGAGCGUUGUCCGAAGUUACUGGGCGUAAAGGGCGCGUAGGCGGGGUGUCACGUCCGCUGUGAAAGCCUGGAGCUUAACUCCAGCGGGUCGGU
rnacentral:rRNA from 1 species